GGUAGUCCACGCCGUAAACGAUGUGCACUAGGUGUCGGGGGUAUCGACCCCCUCGGUGCCGCAGCUAACGCGAUAAGUGCACCGCCUGGGGACUACGGCCGCAAGGCUAAAACUCAAAGGAAUUGACGGGGCCCGCACAAGCAGCGGAGCGUGUGGUUUAAUUCGACGCAACGCGAAGAACCUUACCUGGGCUUGACAUGCACGUGGUAAAAGCCUGAAAGGGUGAUGACCCGCAAGGGAGCGUGCACAGAUGCUGCAUGGCUGUCGUCAGCUCGUGCCGUGAGGUGUUGGGUUAAG
rnacentral:rRNA from 1 species